CCUGAAGUUAAUUCUGGUGCUUACUAGAGCAGAUCUUUUAGCAAAACAUCCAAUCUUGAUUUAAAAAUUGCCAGUGAUGGAGAAUCCAUCACAAUCCUUGGGAAGUUGUUCCACUGAUGAAUAACCCUCAUUGUUAAAACAUUCACACCUUAUUUCCACUCUGAAUUUGUUAGCUUCAACUUCCUACCACUGGAUCAUGUUAGACCUUUGUCUGCUAGAUUGAAGAGACCAUGAUUAAAUAUUGGUUCCCC